GGGGACUGGCAGUCAGGUGGAAGAGGAACUGAAUUGGGGGCUGAGGGCAGGAAGCCAAGGGCCUGGAGGGUCGAAGGUUCCCUUGGGGAGUUGUGUCGGGGGCUGGGCAGGGACCAGGUGAGAGUGUGGUGGUCUGUGUUGGGCUGGGUGGGGAAUGGGGGCUUCCCUGGGAGGCAGGAAGGCAGCCCACCCUGUGAAGGUCUCUCGGCUCCUGAUCGGGCAUCAGGCUGUGCUUAGCUUUCCUAGAACGUGGGGCUGGACCCUCCUGAGCCUGGGUGACCCAGUACCCUCAAAUCCAGAGUGGGCUACAGAGCAAGGCGAGCCCCAGGAUGAUGGGAUGGGACUGAGACCGAGGGGCCACCCAAAGUGGACGGUGGGGGUCCAGGCCCUGCUGUCCCCGUGGGAACUGACGUUCUCAUGAGGGCAUCUGGGAGACACCCUGGGGGUGGACCAGUCUAGCACUUGCUGGAGUGCCAUCUCUGGCACAGACCCCUUCUUCUCUCAGGGGCCUCCACCUUUGGCGCUUCCUGAACCCAGCGGGUGGCUGGAGCGGGGAGGGGUGGAAAGGGUGGCCUCAUCUGGGCAGUGUCCCACUCCCCUGAACCCAGCAGGUGGCAGGAGCAGGAGGGUGAGGAGGGUGGCCUCAUCUGGGCAGUGUCCCCCUCCCCUGAACCCAGCGGGUGGCUGGAGCGGGAGGGUGGGCAGGGUGGCCUCAUCUGGGCAGUGUCCCUCUCCCGGGCCCCGGCCCCCCUCACUCCUGUGCAUCGACCUGCCUCUCCUACAGAUGCUGCCGUCCCAGCCCCAGCUGCCCCAGGGCAGGAAAGCACGUCCAUCCAGAGGACACAGACGUGCCCUGAGGCUCCAGGACCUUCCACAGGGGAUCACAGCAGCCCCAGCCCCAGCCCUGGGGGGCUACCUGCACUCCAGGGGGCCAGCCCGGAGCCCCCAGCUGUGGAGGCUGGGGCCGCAUCCAGUGAGGCCUGGCAGCAGGUUGAAGGCGAGCCUCAGAAGGCACCUCAGCCUCUCUCCCACGAGGGCCUCGAGCAGACAGCUCAGGCACGCACUGAGGUCCCGGAACGCACGGUGCCCAUUCGGUAACCUCCCAAGCUGGCUGGGGGGUGAGGGGACGUCCUGGGGGCAGGCUGGGGCGUGGGAGAAGGAGAGCAAGGGGUGGGAUCACAGCAGCCUGCACUCUCCUUACCAGCCCCACCCUUAAGCUCAGGGCAGGGGGAGGCCACCUGGGGCAAGGAAAGCGGGGGUGCUCCCUUCUUCACCUAGGACUGGGGCCUCGGGCUGUAUGUCCCCUCCCAAAGAGUCUGCUGCAGCCCCCUGAGUAGGCAGGGAGCAAGAACCCAAUCGCGGCCUCCCACACCCCAAGAGUGGAAGGGUGAGGCAGACAGCUAAUUCCACUCCAUGCCCCAGGAUGGAGGGCGCUGCCUGGCCAGGAGCAGGUGAGCUCUGGGACGUCCACAGCCACGUGUUCACGGAGACCACACACAGGACAUACGUGUACCAGACCAGCGACACGCCUGCUGCAAGUAGGUGGGGGCCUGGCAGGUCACACGUGUGCCUUCCAUGCCCCAGGCUAAGGAGGGAUUUCCAGGGCGGGGCCGGCACAGCCACCUGGCACACCCCAGCCUUACUGAGGCCAGGGCCCCGGCUGCCUCUCUCCCUGCGUGCCCUCAGAAGGCAGCAGUGACCAGGACGUCAGGGCCCUUUACCCCACGCAGAGUUGGCAUGUUCUUGUGGCCUCAGAGAGCUGAGGCUGAAGCAGCAAAGACAGGGGGUGCAUUUCUGGACCAUCAGGGGUGGGAUCCCUUCCCUUGGAGGCAGCUGGGCUCUUUCACCCUGGAGUAUGUCUUAGGGCCUUCCUGCCCAGCUCGGGCAGCAAGACACACGUGGCGUUGCUGCCAUUCCAC
rnacentral:lncRNA from 1 species